GCUCAUCCUGGCUCAAAAAGCACCCCCACUGAGCACCUUGCGACCCCCACUCCUGCCUGCCAGAGAACAACCCCCCUUUGACUGUAAUUUUCCCUUACCUACCCAACACCCAGGUGAUUAAAAGCUUUAUUGCUCACACAAAGCCUGUUUGGUGGUCUCUUCACACGGACACACAUGAAAUUUGGUGCCGUGACUCGGAUCGGGGGUCCUCCCUUGGGAGAUCAAUCCCCUGUCCUCCUGUUCUUUGCUCCGUGAGAAAGAUCCACCUACGACCUCAGGUCCUCAGACCGACCAGCCCAACGAACAUCUCACCAAUUUUAAAUCAGUUAUAUAUAUUUUUGACAAUUUUUUUUUCUGGUUUAGUGAUACUAGCAAGCCUGCAUUCUAAAAUAUUCUAACCAGAGUUAUUUUUCUUUUCAAGCAAAAUUAAAUGAGGCAAUGUUUAAUAUCUGACUAAACCCUCCCAACACUCAUGGUUCAUCAUCAAUGCCUUCUUCUCCUCCAUCCCCAACAGUUUCACCCACCUGAUGUCCAGGGCCAGACCCUGUACUGCCAGUGUCCCCUCUGCCAUGGAUCUUGGUUUUGGGGUGUCCAUUCCAGGCCAGCUCACUGUCAUUUAAUGCAGGGUAACUUCUUGGCUGGGUGUGCAUCUCUGCUGAGUUCCUACUUCUCACUCUCUUGCUACUGUCACUCCAUUCCUCAACUGUGUCCCCUAUUGCCCAUUUUGUUGGCUCCUCCAUCCUGACAUCUGAUUUGGCAUCUCUGUCUUGACCUUCCAACAUGGCAUCAAAUUAGUUCUUCUGUCCCUUCCCACUCCUAGGACCUACCAGUCUGCCCUGCUCAUACUUGAUCUGGAUGAGACUGAUACCCUGCGAGACGCAACAGAAUCAGCUCCUGGGAUUGUGUUAGCAGAAUGACGGGAGUGUGAGAUCCACCACAUGGCGAGGCACCCCAGGAACCUGUUUUCUUCUUGAAGAGCAACCGAGAACUAUUUCCAAGUUAUCCUUCACUUUGAGGUCGGCAGCAGAGAAGCCAGAACCGGAAGACACCUUGUAGUCUGAGACCAUGGACACCUCAGCAGUUAAUAUUGUAGAGUAAGUUCAAUGGCUGAAGAGAUCUUAUUAGGGUUUGGUGCUACACAAAACCCUGAGACCCUUGUCCAUCCCUGAGGGUGACAAUAAUAUCUGAGACCAAAUUCCUAAUUACCUAAUAUGAUAAAGAGAGUUGCUAUAGGCUUAGAAUUAAUUUUAUGUAAAAAGUAAAGUGGUAUUUUUUUUUUGCAUGUCUGAGUUUGACGGCUUAAAUGGUUGGUCAAAUAGUUGAUGAAAUGCUAAUUGGGUCAUCCUCUCUCCUCUCUGAACCCCUGCCUUGAGAAACAGACAGCAGACAGACACCACACUCACACACGUGCACACACACACACACACACACACACCUUUUCUCUUAAAGGACAGCAUGGAGGUGUCUGAUUUCUGCUUGGGCUGAGGAUUCAGGAGAAGAUGUGUGGAACACAGCCUGGACAUGCCCCAACCUGGUUGAUGAAUUCCACCCCAAGUAGUGGAAGAAACACACCUACAACAUGAGCAGAGAAGAUUUUUCUUCUGUACUUUCCAGGACUUGAAGCUGCUUUGUUUUUUGGUCGCUGGGUGGGGAAGGAGGAACAAUAGUAUAGCUUCCAGAAGAGAGAAGAGAGAUAUCUCUUGAGUGUGAAUUAAGCAGUACCAAGAGGCCUCAAGCUAGCUCUCUCUCCUGCUUUAAAUUCUACUGUUAAGAGUUUUUCUUUAAGUUUAAAACCUUGAAAGCUCCAUGAUGCUCCUGAGUAGAACAAUAAAGCCAUUAGUAGUCAAUGGCCGUCUUUAAUAUUUUUCUUCCAUUUCAAUUUUAGUUCUAAUUUUAUCUGACUCCUAAAAAUAUGUUUCAUAUUCUCAUGAGGGCUGGGCCCAUAUGUGUAAAUGGUUGAAACAUCUUACUUUGUUGACUGAACUAGUCUAAAUAGUCAGUCAAAUUUUUUUUUUAGGCAAAAGUGAAUUUCAUCAAAUUGGUUGGCCCACAAUUUCUUAAAUUCAUCAUUGAUUGAUUAUCUGUGAUGUGCCAAUCCCUGUGCAAGUUCCUAGGGCAACAGAAGUAAAAAUCCAUAAUCUCUGUUUCCAGGACUCUAUCAGUUUGAUAGGGACACAGGCACAUAAGCAGACAAUCAUAAUGCAGUGGUAGUAGGGAUAUGCCACUCUCAUCCAGGCAGUGUAUUGAUGACCAUGUCCUUGAGUUCCCAAGUACAUUGAAAAAGGUGUAAUAAGGAGAUGCUAAAUUAGCAGGUAGUACUUAUAUGAAGUUCUACUGUGUCUACUCCUGUGCCAGGUGUUUCGGUUGGGAAUGAGUAUUGGGUAAGAGGAGAAUAGAAGAUGGAAAGGCAGAAAACACCAACUCAGCUGAUAUGGUUGGGAUGUUUGUCUCCUCUAAACCUCACAUUGAAAUGUAAUCCCCAGUGUUAGAGGUGGGGCCUAGUGAAAGGUAUUGGAUGAGGGGAGUGGAUCCUUCAUGAAUGGCUUAGUGUCAUCCCCUUGGUGAUGAGUGAGUUCUCGUUCUGUUAGUUUACACAAGAUCUGGUUACUUAAAAGGGUGUGGAACCUCCCCCUCCUCUCUCUUACUCCCUCUCACCAUGUGACAUGUUGGCUCCCCUUCCCCCUCAUCAUGACUGUAAGCUUCCUGAAGCCCUUUCCAGAAGCAGAAACCGGCACCAUGCUUCAUGUACAGUCUGCAGAACCGUGAGCCAAUUAAACCUCUUUCCUUCAUAAAGCACACAGCUUCAGAUAUCUCUUUGUAACAAAGCAAAAACUGACUAACACAUCACCCAUUAAAGAGUUUACAAUUUAUUUAGAGGAAAUAAGAUGGAAGUGUAGGGAGUUAUUAGAAAGCAAGACAACCUACAAAUCUGUAAAGUAUAAGCAUCAAACUUUGUGAACAAAGAGUAUGAUGUAGGUAUUGAGAAAAGAAAAAGUGGGAUAUAGGGUGGAACAGUCUCAGAAAAGUCCUCCCAAAGGACACAGGUAAGAGAAAGACAUGGAAGAACUGGUCCAACUUACAUUGGUAGAAUCAGAGGGCUUAGGUCUUUUUUUUUUUUUUUUCUUUUUUUUUUUGAGACAGUUUCACUCUUGCUGCCCAGGCUGGAGUGCAAUGGCACAAUCUUGGCUCACUGCAACCUCUGCCUCCCGGGUUCAAGUGAUUCUCCUGCCUCGCCUCCCAAGUAGCUGGGAUUACAGGCGCCCGCAACUACGCCUGGCUAAUUUUCGUAUUUUUAGUAGAGAUGGGGUUUCACCACGUUGGCCAGGGUGCUCUUGAACUCCUGACAUCAGGUGAUCUGCCCUCCUUGGCCUCCCAAAGUGCUGGGACUACAGGCAUGAGCCACUGUGCCUGGCUGGGCCUAGGUCUUCUAAGCAGUGGAAAUGGCAGAGGCAAGUGUCCAGAGCUGGGAAUAAGGGGAUGUUAUGUGGGUAUCAUAGGGAUGGGGGCAGGGGACUUCACAAUAAGACACCAGCCAGUCUAAAGUUGAGUUUGUGUAGGAUUUUUUACUCAUAUAUUAUUGAGGGCCAUGCAUUGAACUACAUAUUAUGGAUAAAUAAUUAAUACAUUCCUGCCAUCUUGAAGUUUAUAAUCUAGUCCUACAAAGAAACUUAUCAGAGAGGUUUCUCUGAGGCUUAGUGUGUUGCGGUCUAUGCCUUUUCAUUUCAUCCUUCAAAUACUGUCUACUCAAUGAAAUUUACCUGGCCUGUUCAGCCAAAAUAAUUUAUAAAGGCAAUAAUAGCUAACAUUAUUAACACUCUCCUAGACCAGUGUACUGUACUAACUACUUUGCAUGCCUUAUUCAUAAUAAGUUAAGGUCUCUUAUAUUUUUCAGUGUACUAUGCACCAUGUUAUGGUCUUUACAAAGAUUACAUAGUGUAAUCUUUACACUAAACUUUGCAAGGGUGUACUACUAUUAUCCCCAUUGUCUCUAUGAGAAAGCUGAGGCUCUGCAAGGUUAAAUGAUUUCCCCAAGGUUCUCUUAAACUUCGUAGGGGAAGAUGGAGGAUGCUUAGAGAGUGGUAUGAACAACAUUGUGUGCCUCCUGAUGUGAUACAAUGUGCAGCACAUAGCACCGCUUUUGAAGUACUGCAUGCUUGCCAAAAGAAAAAUUGAACAUAAACUUUCAAGUUUAUUGAAAAUGGAGGGUCCAGGAGUAGUGACUCAUGUCUAUAAUCCCAGAACUUUGGGAGGCCAAGCCAGGCUGAUCACUUGGGCCAGGAGUUCAAGAGCAGCCUAGCCAACAUGGUGAAACCCUGUCUCUACUAAAAAUAUAAAAAUUAGCUGGGCAUGGUGGCUCAUGCCUGUAAUCCCAGCUACUUGGGAGGCUGAGACAUGAGAAUCACUUGAGCCUGGGAGGUGGAGGCUGCAGUGAGCUGAGAUCACGCCAUUGCACUCCAGCCUGGGCAACAGAGCAAGACUCUAUCUCAGAAAAGAAAAAAAAAUGAGAAAAGAAAAUGGAGGGAUAAAGGAUUAAGAUAAAUGAUGCCACAAAGAAGUAAACAGAAAAAUUUAGAAUUUUGGAGUGCAGGGACUGCAGGACAACUGACCAAAUUUCUUCAACAUGUCAAAUAUAUGUGUGUUUGUGUGUGUGCCAAAGGUGAUGUUUAUAGAGAAAGUUUUGGUCUCAAUAAAACAAAGAUUUUUCUAACAACAAGGCUGUCCCAAACCACAGUGGGCUACUCAGGUGAGGGUAGGCAUGAGUGGUCUUGAGCUCCCAUCCCUGCAGUGGCUCCAGCAGAGGCUUUAUGCCUGCCUGUUAGGGACUGACAGUGCAGGGAGCACAUGGGGAAUCAGUGUUGAUGUGCUACUAUAGCGCCACCUCACUCUGCUCAGGCAACCAUUUCACAAGAGCCCUU
rnacentral:lncRNA from 1 species